rnacentral:rRNA from 1 species
GAUGAACGCUGGCGGCGUGCUUAACACAUGCAAGUCGAGCGGAGAUAAGAGGGAGCUUGCUCCCAAUUAUCUUAGCGGCGGACGGGUGAGUAACGUGUGGGUAACCUGCCUUAUACUGUGGAAUAAUCAUGAGAAAUCGUGACUAAUACCGCAUGUGGUCUUCGGAAGGCAUCUUCUGAAGAAGAAAGGAUUUAUAUUCGGUAUAAGAUGGACCCGCAUCUGAUUAGCUAGUUGGUGAGAUAAUAGCCCACCAAGGCGACGAUCAGUAGCCGACCUGAGAGGGUGAUCGGCCACAUUGGGACUGAGACACGGCCCAAACUCCUACGGGAGGCAGCAGUGGGGAAUAUUGCACAAUGGGCGAAAGCCUGAUGCAGCAACGCCGCGUGAAGGAAGAAGGGUUUCGGCUCGUAAACUUCUAUCGAUAGGGAAGAAAGAAAUGACGGUACCUAAAUAAGAAGCCCCGGCUAACUACGUGCCAGCAGCCGCGGUAAUACGUAGGGGGCAAGCGUUAUCCGGAAUUACUGGGUGUAAAGGGAGAGUAGGCGGCAUGAUAAGUUAGAUGUGAAAGCCCGGGGCUUAACCUCGGGAUUGCAUUUAAAACUAUUGAGCUAGAGUACAGGAGAGGAAAGCGGAAUUCCUAGUGUAGCGGUGAAAUGCGUAGAUAUUAGGAAGAACACCAGUGGCGAAGGCGGCUUUCUGGACUGAAACUGACGCUGAGGCUCGAAAGCGUGGGGAGCGAACAGGAUUAGAUACCCUGGUAGUCCACGCCGUAAACGAUGAGUGCUAGGUGUCGGAGGGGAACCUUCGGUGCCGCAGCAAACGCAAUAAGCACUCCACCUGGGGAGUACGAUCGCAAGAUUGA